rnacentral:rRNA from 1 species
UACGGAAGGUGCAAGCGUUGUUCGGAAUGACUGGGCGUAAAGUGCGCGUAGGCGGGUUUAUAAGUCGAUUGUGAAAUCCCUGGGCUUAACCUAGGAACUGCAGUCGAAACUGUAAGUCUUGAAUAUCUGAGAGGUUAGUGGAAUUCCAGGUGUAGGAGUGAAAUCCGUAGAUAUCUGGAGGAACACCGGAGGCGAAGGCGGCUAACUGGCAGAAUAUUGACGCUGAGGCGCGAAAGCGUGGGUAGCAAACAGG